CAUACGUAUAGAUGCCCAAAGAGACUAAAAGGUGCAAAGAGAGUAAAAACCCAGAUCUGGAGGCCCAGAACUUUAAUCACAAGACCAUUCUUUCUCCUACAAGGCUACAAAUAAAGUGCUCUGAAAAUUGUAACAGAGAUGGUGAGAGAGUUUGAGCUCUAAGUUGGAGAAACAAAGGGCAGGCAAAAAUUUACUCUUCACACAAACAAAAGGCAUUAAAAAAACCAGACCUUAUUGUGCUGAAGAUUUUGAUGAACAAACACGCUGAGACACAGGACAGACUUGAUUUAGAGUCCAUGGCGAGAUCUUAUGCAUAAGAAAACAGAAGCAGAAGCAAGACCAAUGUAGGAUGAGAACAGCUACACCUGAAAUCGCCCAAGUAGAGGGCAUAACAAAUAAUGAUGUGAUAUGAUGCUAAAUGUUAAUCCUUUCACUCUCUUGCUCUGUAACUUAGAUGUAGAGCAGGAAUGAACCAGUUGUUUUUGUUGUUCUGUGAAACUGUUGUAAAAAUCACA